rnacentral:lncRNA from 1 species
AGCGCGGGCAUUGACUGGAACCCGAGAUACGGCGUCCACGGCACCUCGGGGCAGGGGCGCAGGCUUCGGAGACACCGUGGACUUGGGACUUAGAAGCGAGGUCCCUUCUUCCUGCUGGAUGAGCCUGGAGUGUGCUACCCGGGGCAGAGCUGGGGGGCAGGCGCCCUGGGAAAGGUGAGGACACGGUGAGGAGCUGGAAGACUGUGAACCAGACUUGGAACCUGCCAGAGCCUUGAUGCAGACGUCGCAGCCCCAGAACACUACCAGCCUAUGCCACAGCCACAGCAAUGCGAGAUCCGAGCCACAUCUUCUAUCUACACCGCAUCUCAUGGCAAUGCUAGAUCUUUAACCCACUGAGCAAGGCUAGGGAUCGAACCCGCAUCCUCGUGGAUACUAGUCAGAUUCAUUACUGCUGAGCCACAAUAGGAACUUGGGUUGUUUCUACUUGCAGUCAUUUUGCUGCUACGAUGCAGUCUUGUUAAGACCUGUCUGCUAAGGAUAGAACUCGGAGGUGGUCCUGGAAGGAUUGAAAGGUCUACUCUGGGUUCAAUAGGAAAGAACUCGAGGAUUGAUUAGCAGGGCUGAUCUUAGCCACAGGAAGGGAGGGAUGGUGCUCUUGGGAUCCUGUGUCUGCCACGCUAUUUCUGCAUCAUGUUCUGGCAUCAGCCCCCUUCCCUGUAUGUCCUCUUUCCAGUGAGAAGGAACAUUCAGAAUCAUCACUCCCAAGGCUGUCAGCUCUGCAGCCAGUGAUCACCAACAACCAAAAGAA